CGUGGCCUUUUUUUUUUUUUUUUCGACCCCUUUCCGGGCGCUACAGAGAAAGAUAUAGAGAGGGUUGUACAUGUGGGCAGUCGAUUGUGUGACGGAGAGGAGUGAAUGGGAGGUGGCGUAAGGAUGGGAACGGAGCUUGUGGAUGAUGAGUUGUGUGUGACCGAGUGGUGAGAUAACUGUGAGAGUGGGAUGCUUUGUUGUAUAGGUAUAAGUAUAGGCGACGGGUGAUUGGUGGCGAGUGUAGGUUCAGUUGUGUGUGUGUGUGACUACUUAUUGAGGGUGACACCUUCUGUUGUGCAGGGAUGGUGGCUCGUGGGCUGUAUGUGUGAAGCUGUCGAUUGAGUGGGGUUUAAGUGAUACAGUGGGGGCGUUGGGCACUCUGUGGUGUGUGUAUGUAUAAGUAUUUAGGUGUGGGAGGCCUCUUAGCCGGUGUUUGUAGAUUCUGGUAUACUAGUGUAGAAAUCAAUGGCACGCUGUUUGUACAUGUGUGUGAGUUAUGUGUGUGUAAGGCCUCUGCCCGAUGCUUGCAGCCAUGGAUGUGCUGAUAUGAUAAAUAGUGGCAUGUUCUAUUUAUAGCCACUCAGUGGUCGAUGUGGCACUCCCCUGGUCAGGUGUGUAGGAGGCCGUUUGGCUGACGUUGGUGGAGUUCA
rnacentral:lncRNA from 1 species